UACAGAGGGUGCGAGCGUUAAUCGGAAUUACUGGGCGUAAAGCGUGCGUAGACGGUUAUUUAAGUCGGAUGUGAAAGCCCCGGGCUCAACCCGGGAAGUGCACUCGAUACUGCCAAGCUAGAGUAUCGGAGAGGUUGGUGGAAUUCUCGGUGUAGAGGUGAAAUUCGUAGAUAUCGAGAGGAACACCGGUGGCGAAGGCGGCCAACUGGACGAAUACUGACGCUGAGACUCGAAAGCGUGGGGAGCAAACAGG
rnacentral:rRNA from 1 species